UUGAAGUUAAAGUUGUAACAAGGUUUCCGUAGGUGAACCUGCGGAAGGAUCAUUA
rnacentral:rRNA from 1 species